GCUGUCCAAGAUCUUCGGGAACAAGGAGAUGCGGAUCCUGAUGCUGGGGCUGGACGCGGCCGGCAAGACCACGAUCCUGUACAAGCUGAAGCUGGGCCAGUCGGUGACCACCAUCCCCACCGUGGGCUUCAACGUGGAGACCGUCACCUACAAGAACGUCAAGUUCAACGUGUGGGACGUGGGCGGCCAGGACAAGAUCCGGCCCCUCUGGCGGCACUACUACACGGGCACGCAGGGGCUCAUCUUCGUGGUGGACUGCGCCGACCGCGACCGCAUCGACGAGGCGCGGCAGGAGCUGCACCGCAUCAUCAACGACCGGGAGAUGCGGGACGCCAUCAUCCUCAUCUUCGCCAACAAGCAGGACCUGCCCGACGCCAUGAAACCCCACGAGAUCCAGGAGAAACUGGGCCUGACCCGGAUCAGGGAUAGGAAUUGAAAAGUUCUGUUAAUCUGUAACUAAACAGCGACUCGGUCUGGCUCCACGGCUCAGGCUAACGAGGGGAAUUCUUGCCUGCAGUGCCAGAGAGUGGGAAUUCCACUGUUAACAAUAUAAGUUUUACAUGGCAUUGGGGGGCGUUACACUACAUUGCUGCAGUGGUGGCUCUGCAUGGAGAGUACCUUGUAUUAUGGAGCUCUUACCAAAGAUGUGUGGGAAGACAAAAAAUCCUGAAUUCACUUCUGAAAUCCAAUGCUUUGCUCGAAGUCCUUUUAGAAUACGGUUCCUAAAAGACUUGUCUGGAUGUGGGUUGCAAAUGGGACUGGAUGGGUUCCUGGUGCUAGAAGAUAGAGCAUUGAUGGACUUUGUGAGUUAGGGAGUCUGAAGAAGCUCAAUGUAGAAAUAACUCUUCAAUCUCAGCCCUAAAGAAGAGGAAGUGGGAUUAGUUUACUUUAAUCCAAGCCUUUUUUGCCGUUGGAAAAAUCAUUGCUCUAUUUUCUAGCUUUUAUUUUCUUUUUUUCUUUUUUUCCUGUUGCUGUAACUUAACAAACAAGUGUGGUGGUAUAAAAACUUAAAAAAAAAAAAAUACAAGAGUAUGGUUACUGUUUUCUUCUGGAGCAUCAAUAAAAUAGCCAAGCACAAAGUAAAUGCCUAAACUGGAAAACUUGAAGCUCUAUUAAUGGUUCUUGAACUUUCUUAAACCUAUUCUCAGUCAACAUGAAAACUUCAGUAACUUCAUUUUUCGUCUGAGUUGGUUUCCUGUGUUUCCAAGUGCUGGGGCAGCCUUUGCGUUGACUUCACAACUUUGUAUUCCCUUAGUGACUUUGUUAUUCUGUUUUUGUAGGUGAAAGGAAACUGCUUUUGCUUCUGGAAUUUUUUUAAUGUUUUGGGGGUUUUUUUUUGGGGGGGGGGGGAGGAACGGGGAAGGAGAAAGGGGGAGAAAAAGUUACUGAAAGAUGUGGCAGAGACGUCAAAAAUAAAGGGCCGUCGGUACCGAACAAACCCCACAGGUUUCACUUCCAACAUGUCCUUUCUAGGCUGUAGCUGAACCUCCACCACGAGGUAGUGGCUCACAGGCAGGAUAAAGUGGGAAUCCUGUACGAAACCCGGUGAUUUCCAAACCCAUCUGGAGUUCCAAGUGCAUCGAUUUGUGUCCGUGUGAGUUCUGUGGAGUGAGUUCUGAGUGGCGUCAAAUCGUGUCCGACCAGUGACUGAGUUUGUGGCCUGUGACCCCCCUGACUGGAGUAACCAGGAAUUCUGUGUUCUCAAUAUGGCUGUAGUGUUGGUAAAGAACUACUAAGCAGAAAAAUAAAGCAAUUACACAGCGGA